GCGGCAACCUGCCUGUAAGACUGGGAUAACUCCGGGAAACCGGGGCUAAUACCGGAUAACUCAACGAACCGCAUGGUUCGGUGUUAAAAGAUGGCUUCGGCUAUCACUUACAGAUGGGCCCGCGGCGCAUUAGCUAGUUGGUGAGGUAACGGCUCACCAAGGCAACGAUGCGUAGCCGACCUGAGAGGGUGAUCGGCCACACUGGGACUGAGACACGGCCCAGACUCCUACGGGAGGCAGCAGUAGGGAAUCAUCCGCAAUGGACGAAAGUCUGACGGUGCAACGCCGCGUGAGUGAUGAAGGUUUUCGGAUCGUAAAACUCUGUUGUUAGGGAAGAACACGUGCUGUUCGAAUAGGGCAGUGCCUUGACGGUACCUAACCAGAAAGCCACGGCUAACUACGUGCCAGCAGCCGCGGUAAUACGUAGGUGGCAAGCGUUGUCCGGAAUUAUUGGGCGUAAAGCGCGCGCAGGCGGUUUCUUAAGUCUGAUGUGAAAGCCCACAGCUCAACUGUGGAGGGUCAUUGGAAACUGGGGAACUUGAGUACAGAAGAGGAGAGCGGAAUUCCACGUGUAGCGGUGAAAUGCGUAGAUAUGUGGAGGAACACCAGUGGCGAAGGCGGCUCUCUGGUCUGUGACUGACGCUGAGGCGCGAAAGCAUGGGUAGCGAACAGGAUUAGAUACCCUGGUAGUCCAUGCCGUAAACGAUGAGUGCUAGGUGUUAGGGGGUCCAACCCUUAGUGCUGCAGUUAACGCAAUAAGCACUCCGCCUGGGGAGUACGGCCGCAAGGCUGAAACUCAAAGGAAUUGACGGGGGCCCGCACAAGCGGUGGAGCAUGUGGUUUAAUUCGACGCAACGCGAAGAACCUUACCAGGUCUUGACAUCUUCGGACCGCCCUAGAGAUAGGGUCUUCCCUUCGGG
rnacentral:rRNA from 1 species